CCUACGGGAGGCAGCAGUAGGGAAUAUUGCUCAAUGGGGGAAACCCUGAAGCAGCAACGCCGCGUGGAGGAUGAAGGUUUUCGGAUUGUAAACUCCUUUUGUUAGAGAAGAUAAUGACGGUAUCUAACGAAUAAGCACCGGCUAACUCCGUGCCAGCAGCCGCGGUCAUACGGAGGGUGCAAGCGUUACUCGGAAUCACUGGGUGUAAAGAGCGCGUAGGCGGGAUAGCAAGUCAGAUGUGAAAUCCUAUGGCUUAACCAUAGAUCUGCAUUUGAAACUGUUAGUCUAGAGUAUGGGAGAGGUAGGUGGAAUUCUUGGUGUAGGGGUAAAAUCCGUAGAGAUCAAGAGGAAUACGCAUUGCGAAGGCGACCUGCUAGAACAUAACUGACGCUGAUGCGCGAAAGCGUGGGGAGCAAACAGGAUUAGAUACCCCGGUAGUC
rnacentral:rRNA from 1 species